UAAAUGUACCUGUACCUAAUAUUUUUUUUGUUGUAUUUGUGAACCAGGUGUUCCAGGUGACAUAAAAAUGAAGAUAUCCAUUGGUCUAAGGAAGUCAUGAGGGGAAGGAGGCUGAUGGUCGCCCGGAGACUCCGCACCUACGGAGAGUGACGUCCUGCUGCAGUGCCGCUGCCUACCUACGCUGACUGAGCUUGUCAAUGGAGCUGGAAAACAUCGUUGCCAACACCGUCUUGCUGAAAGCCAGGGAAGGGCUGUUUUUAGGAAUGCUCUACUGAGAGCAUUGCCA
rnacentral:lncRNA from 1 species